rnacentral:misc_RNA from 1 species
UACAAGAAAUGUACAAAUAAAUACUGUAAAAUAAGAAUUUAACAUUAAAAUUUGAUAAAAAGUUGAUAUAUUUAAUUAGAAUCAUGAAUAUAUACUCCUACCCUGAUGAAGGCUUGGAGGCUUGCCGCGUGUGUUUAGCAACGGACGUAAAAUUAUACGAUUUACACAGGACAGGAUUAGCACAAACUUUUUUUGAGUUUUCCGGGACUCCUAUUUCUUCAUCGGAUGGCCUGCCACAGCAGAUAUGUGUGUUUUGCUGCGCUCUGCUCAACAAAUCAUCGCAAUUCAGAAAUAAAUGCCGCAACACACACACAUUCCUGCUCAACAACUUAAUGCAGAUGCACUAUUUAACGACCUCCUACCUUCGCGCCACAGACAGGUCGCAGUUAAAACUACCUCUAACUAUAACCAGAACUGAAAUAAACACAGUUCCAGAACCGGAAACGAAUGUUAAGUUCCAAAACGUGAAACAAGAACUAGAAAUAGAAUUUGAGCUAGAUACGGACCCCAUACAAGAUGACGUCUUUAAUUCCGAAGAAAACACUAACAAUGGAAGUGAAAAACCAGAAUUCGACGACAUAUUUAAAGAUAACUUCGUUAAAUCCGAAGGGGUUGUUUAUUUACUAAGUGAUAACAAAGAUAAAAGAAAGAAAAGGAAGGAUAAAAGCAAGAUAACAGAUAAAGCUGUUGAAGAUAAAGUCAAAGAAUUUAAAAGUAAAUAUUUAGACAAUAUAAUUGAUCCUGAUAAAAGGAUGUUUUAUGAAUACGUCUUAGAGAAAUAUGUUAAGGGAAGCAAGAAAUUUAAUAAAAGUAAUGUGUUAGAUAAUAUAUUAGAUUGUAAUGAUACAAAAGAUUUAAACAACAUAAAAAUGGAAAAUAACCUAUUCAUAUCAAUUGACAACGGUAAUAUAACAGAAAACACAACAAAUUUAACAGAAAAACUAACAGAGACUUACGAAAACACAGAAAAUGUCAACCACAAAAGGUUCUACCAAUACAUUUUAGAGAAAUACUACAAAAAUGAUGAUACAAAUAGGACAGUUAGGAAAGUGACAGAUGUAACUAGAAUGAGAGAAAGAAAGAACAAGACAAAUAGAAAGAAGAAGACGAAAGAUGAUUUAGCAAAUUUCUCAAAGACUUAUAAUGUGGAAGUGAUAGUGUUGGGCAGAGAAGAACAGAUAGCAGAUGUCACUAGUCGGAGAGAGACGGAGAAGUUUUCGAAUGCUAAUUUCAAAUGCAUGGAUUGCUACCGAGGGUUCACCGCUGAGAAGGCUUUCAAGAACCACCUGGCUAUACACGAUCCGAGCACAGGCCAGUACGUGUGCGACAUAUGUCGCGUGCGGUUCAACAAGCGCGGUAGACUAACGAAACACAUGCAGCUGCGGCAUAAAUACAAGUUUAUAUGCAAAAUGUGUAGCCAAGUUACUAGAAACAGCACAUGUGCGCGGGAGCAUUAUAAGUGUCACGCCGGCUUCAAGUAUGACUGUGAACAUUGCGGAAAAGUAUUCAGUAAAUACGGCAGCCGCAUCAACCACAUUCGCAUCUUCCAUGGCAGUGUGACCUGCUCCAUCUGUCAGGAGAGCUUUGCUGGUGAGACGGGACUCACGGCCCACAGGACGAAGGCACAUCGAGAGCUGUACAAGUGUACAACAUGUGGCGUACAGUUCCACAACCCUGACGCGUUGAGGAGACACGCUGAGACUCUGUUGGAUGGUGUUUGUGGCGCCCAUAUAAGGCCGUGUACUCAAUGCGGUGACAAUUUCGCCAGUGAAGAGCUGAUGAAGGCUCACAUGAAGGAGUACCACAACAAGCAGAAGCCAAGAGGCAGGACACAGUCAAAGUCAAUGCAAAAACUGGUCAUCCAACAGCGUCCAAACGUGCACUGGCUCGCCAAACGCCGCACCAGACCGCCUGACUCGCUCACCGAUGUCACUGAGUUGACUCACUCGCUCGUACGACGGAAGCAAAACGCUGAGCCGCCGCAGAAGUUGAUGUGCGAAAUGUGUGCUGCUGGAGGAUUUGCUAGCGAGGCAGUAUUACGGUACCACCAGCGCAUCCACACUGGAGAGAAGCCACAUCCCUGCCCACAGUGCCCCAAAAGGUUCCGAAUACGAGAAUUGUUGCAGAAACACCUGCGCACGCACACAGGAGAUAGGCCGUACAAAUGUGCGCACUGUCCGAAGGCUUUCAAAACUGCUUCUGCUCAUCACACUCACCAAGUGGUCCACACGAAGAUCCGUCGCCAUCAUUGCCACCUAUGCGAGAAGUCGUUCCUAACAGCCAGCUGUGUUAAGACUCACAUUAAAACAGUUCACAUGAAGCUACCCGCACCGCCGCGCGCGCGCCGACGCUCGCCCACCUUGUACGAUAUGCGCGCUUAUUGAUGUUGUUAAUAAAGUAUAUUGAUGCUACCUCACUGACUCACUCACUCAGUGACCCAUUGACUCACUCAGUGACCCAUUGACUCACUCAGUGAAUCAUUGACUCACAUAGUGACCCGUUGACUCACUCAGUGACCCCGCUGACUCACUCGGUGACCCGUUGACUCACUCGGUGACCCGUUGACUCACUCAGUGACCCCGCUGACUCACUCGGUGACCCCGCUGACUCACUCAGUGACCCCGCUGACUCACUCAGUGACCCCGCUGACUCACUCGGUGACCCCGCUGACUCACUCGGUGACCCCGCUGACUCACUCAGUGACCCGUUGACUCACUCAGUGACCCGUUGACUCACUCAGUGACCUACUUGACUCUUUCAGUGACCCACUCACACGGUUGACUCAUUCAAGACGAAAUGACAGUCAUUGUAGAUACGACAAAUGAUGUGUGCAUCUAAUAGAGAAAAUAAAGUGUCUUUUUUAUUUGCCCAUCUCCUAUUCAUAUUGAGAAGUCUCAUAUUAGGGUUGACUUACAUCUCUCAGUACGCUCUCUCUUAGUUUUGAGUAACAGAAAAAGAUAGAAGUAAGUAGAGGAAGUGGACUCUAAAUAGACCAUA